UGCCGGCGCGGUCUGCUCCUCUCCAGCCGCCCGGCCGCCUCGACCGUUCAGGCCGGGCCUCCCUCCCCGCCAGGCCCGUUUGGGGAAAAUCGUGCUAAAACUCGUGUUUUUGCCAGCGAGGCCACGGUGUGGCUUGGGGCUGUCAGUACUGCCUGCGGGAUGGGGAUUCUCCAUCCGGCGUGGCCCACGGGUGUUAGGAGUUACACUCGGACUGUUCAAAACUGAAGACCUAAGGUAUUAAAAGAUGAAGUGAUUUGCCUACAGUGACACUAAAGGUUCUUGUUUACAUACAUGUAGCGUCUGCACGGGCGAUGGCCGAGUCGUCUUCAGACACCUGGCGUAGGACCCGAGACAAGUCGCUUGGACACUCUGGGCCUGUGUUCUUCUGAGCGGACGAGCGGCUGCUGGGCUCGCCGCCGUUUCUGCCCUGACAUCGCACGUGCGUUGGGUGGGGGCGGUGGGCAUCGGGCAUCCGGGAGACUGACCAACCCAACAAGAACCAACCUGCUCCUGACACACGGUGUCACAACACAAUGCAGAGGAACGACGCGUGACUGCCUGCCCAUUAUUCUGGGCAUCGUGCCGUCCAAACAAAGCUGCCGGCUCAUCGCGUCGGUGAGGACGCUGCCUGCGAGGUUCGGGCCCAGGUCCCAGGCUAGGGGUGUCCAAGCCGCGGUCUGCGCCUCGUUCAAGUCAGUCGGGGCAGAAACGCCUGUGUCAGCACGAAUAUACCAAACUCAAGUGUUUCAAGGCUUAAGGAAAAUAUUUCUUUCCGCAAGAGACUUAUUUUAUAUCCAUGGCAAAGACUCGCUCCGCCGUGCACGGGCCUUUCAGGUCACUGCGGAGGGCCUCAGCCGAAGAAGAGAGUGUGACAGUUCCACACAGUGACGGGCGCGUGGCGGAAUAGGUCAGCAGGAUGUGGAAACUCGUUUUGAGGUUUUUGGUAUUCUCACCCAGGGUUCCACGGCUUAAUAGCUGGUGGCUUCUUUGCUGGCUACAUACUGAAUUUAUAAAUGACGUUAAAUGAGUACGUUCUGGGACGUCUGAUGUUUUGGAAUUUAUUGUGACUUCGUUGACUAUAGUGGCGUGUUAUACUCAUGGCCUUCUCUCUGACUUUCAUUUAGUUGGGUCUUAUGAAAAAAACUUAACGAAGCUUCUUAAAUUUUGUGUUUUUCAAAAAUGGUCGUGGCGGGAAGCAUUUACAUGUAAUGUUUCAUUUCAACUGUUACUGAAAAAAGAAAA